GUUGGGGAUUCUAAUAUAGCCAGUUUCCUAAUGCUUCAUUGAUAUAUUUGUAUGAGAUAUUUGACAUGCUGAUUAUGAGAUUGAUUAUCUUGAUUGAGGAUUUUGAUUUUUCUGUGCUUCAUUGCCAUGUUUGUUGAGUACAUUGACAUGCUGAUUAUAUUGAUUGAUCAUCUUGCCUUGCUUAGCAUAGUCAUUCUGAUUUUGCCAUGUUUGUUCUGAUUACCUCACAUGUAUAGACUCACCAUUGUAUAUCAUUUGA
rnacentral:lncRNA from 1 species